UCUCUGGUGGCUUAGAUGGUAGAGCGUCUGCCUACAAUGCAGGAGACCUGGGUUCAAUCCCUAGGUUGGGAA
rfam:Ovis aries breed Texel chromosome 1, whole genome shotgun sequence.